rnacentral:SRP_RNA from 1 species
GGGAGGUCGGCGGCGGACAUGUGCCUCGCCAACCCGGUCAGGGCCGGAAGGCAGCAGCCGCAACGAGUUUCCACAUGGGUCGGUGUUCGGCCUCCCACC